rnacentral:rRNA from 1 species
AGUGAACGCUGGCGGUAGGCCUAACACAUGCAAGUCGAACGGCAGCACAGUAAGAGCUUGCUCUUACGGGUGGCGAGUGGCGGACGGGUGAGGAAUACAUCGGAAUCUACUUUUUCGUGGGGGAUAACGUAGGGAAACUUACGCUAAUACUGCAUACGACCUACGGGUGAAAGCAGGGGAUCUUCGGACCUUGCGCGAUUGAAUGAGCCGAUGUCGGAUUAGCUAGUUGGCGGGGUAAAGGCCCACCAAGGCGACGAUCCGUAGCUGGUCUGAGAGGAUGAUCAGCCACACUGGAACUGAGACACGGUCCAGACUCCUACGGGAGGCAGCAGUGGGGAAUAUUGGACAAUGGGCGCAAGCCUGAUCCAGCCAUACCGCGUGGGUGAAGAAGGCCUUCGGGUUGUAAAGCCCUUUUGGUGGGAAAGAAAAGCAGUAGGUUAAUACCCCGCUGUUCUGACGGUACCCAAAGAAUAAGCACCGGCUAACUUCGUG